rnacentral:rRNA from 1 species
UAAGGAAUAUUGGGCAAUGGGCGCAAGCCUGACCCAGCCAUGCCGCGUGAAGGAUGACGGCCCUAUGGGUUGUAAACUUCUUUUGUACGGGAAAAAUUCCCUGGUUUCGUACCGGGGUUGAUGGUACCGUAAGAAUAAGCAUCGGCUAACUCCGUGCCAGCAGCCGCGGUAAUACGGAGGAUGCAAGCGUUAUCCGGAUUCAUUGGGUUUAAAGGGUGCGCAGGCGGAUUGAUAAGUCAGUGGUGAAAUCCUACAGCUUAACUGUAGAACUGCCAUUGAUACUGUCAAUCUUGAGUACACUUGAAGUGGGCGGAAUGUGUCAUGUAGCGGUGAAAUGCUUAGAUAUGACACAGAACACCGAUCGCGAAGGCAGCUCACUAAGUUGUAACUGACGCUCAGGCACGAAAGCGUGGGGAUCAAACA